GACGAACGCUGGCGGCGUGCUUAACACAUGCAAGUCGAACGAUGAAACCUAGCUUGCUAGGUCGAUUAGUGGCGAACGGGUAAGUAACACGUGACUAACCUGCCCCUUUCUCUGGGAUAACGCUCCGAAAGGAGUGCUAAUACCGGAUACUCACACCGAGGCACAUGCCUUGGUGUGGAAAGUUUUUCGGAAAGGGAUGGAGUCGCGGCCUAUCAGCUUGUUGGUGAGGUAACGGCUCACCAAGGCGACGACGGGUAGCCGGCCUGAGAGGGCGACCGGCCACACUGGGACUGAGACACGGCCCAGACUCCUACGGGAGGCAGCAGUGGGGAAGAUUGCACAAUGGGCGCAAGCCUGAUGCAGCGACGCCGCGUGAGGGAUGAAGGUCUUCGGAUUGUAAACCUCUUUCAGUAGGGACGAAGCGAAAGUGACGGUACCUAAAGAAGAAGCACCGGCUAACUACGUGCCAGCAGCCGCCGUAA
rnacentral:rRNA from 1 species